rnacentral:rRNA from 1 species
AUUGAACGCUGGCGGCAGGCCUAACACAUGCAAGUCGAACGAGUGGCGGACGGGUGAGUAAUGACUGGGCAACUUCCUGGUGGAUGGGGAUAAGUACUGGAAACUGUAACCACAUCCGCAUACCCUAGCAUUUGCCCAGAUGGGAUUAGGUAGUGGGUGGGGUAAAGGCUCACCUAGGCGCCGAUCCCUAGCUGGUCUGAGAGGAUGACCAGCCACACUGGAACGGAGACACGGUCCAGACUCCUACGGGAGGCAGCAGUGGGGAAUAUUGGACAAUGGGCGAAAGCCUGAUGCAGCCAUGCCGCGUGUGUGAAGAAGGCCUUCGGGUUGUAAAGUACUUUCAGCGGGGAGGCGUUACCCGCAGAAGAAGCAACGGCUAACUCCGUGCCAGCAGCCGCGGUAGUAC